GAUGAAGAACGCAGCGAAAUGCGAUAAGUAAUGCGAAUUGCAGAAUUCAGUGAGUCAUCGAAUCUUUGAACGCACAUUGCGCCCUGUGGUAUUCCGCAGGGCAUGCCUGUUCGAGCGUCAUUUCAACCCUCAAGCCUCGCUUGGUGUUGGGCCCUGCCCGCCGCGGCCGGCCCUAAAGAUAGUGGCGGCGCCGCCUGGCCCUCAGCGUAGUACAGCUCUCGCUCCAGGGUCCGGCGGCAGCCUGCCAGAACCCCCCAACUCUGUGGUUGACCUCGGAUCAGGUAGGGAUACCCGCUGAACUUAAGCAUAUUCAAUAAGCGGAGGA
rnacentral:misc_RNA from 1 species